rnacentral:rRNA from 1 species
CCUACGGGAGGCAGCAGUGGGGAAUAUUGCACAAUGGGGGAAACCCUGAUGCAGCGAAGCCGCGUGAGUGACGAAGUAUUCCGGUAUGUAAAGCUUCGUCAGCAGGGAAGAAAAUGACGGUCCCUGACCAAGAAGCCAGGGCUAAGUACGUGCCAGCAGCCGCGGUAAUAUGGAGGGAGCCAGCGUAAUCCGGAUUUACUGGGUGUAAAGGGAGUGUAGACGGUAGGGCAAGUCUGGAGUGAAAGGCUGGGGCUCAACCCCCGGACUGCUCUGGAAACUGCCAGGCUGGAGUGAAGGAGAGGUAAGUGGAAUGCCUAGUGUAGCGGUGAAAUGCGUAGAUAUUAGGAGGAACACCAGUGGCGAAGGCGGCUUACUGGCCUGUAACUGACGUUGAGGCACGAAAGCGUGGGGAGCAAACAGGAUUAGAUACCCUUGUAGUC